AGCAAAUAGCGGGAGUAGCGAAAGCUGGCGAUGGUAUUUUUUUUUUCGUUCACCAUGAUGGCUCGUCUCCGCCUUUGUGGCAGGCCCAGCGAGCGGCUGUGAUUAGGGAGCCGACGAAGGCCCCACGCCGCGGGCUGGAUCGGGACAACAGCGAGGCUGCUUUGAUUUCGGGCAGUGAGACGCCGCGUUCUCAUUUGCCGCCCUGUCUACAGAGCAACGACGUCGACGCUAGAAACGCUGACGUGCUUGCUCCUAGAGUCAGGCCGCUCACACGCGAAUCCUUAUCAGCAGCGCGCGUUACAAUCAUUUUGCACUCUGUCCAAUGAAGCCACGAACUGCGAGCACCGUCUGUGAAGCCAAUCGAACACGGCAAAGCGGGAAAGCAGGGGAAAGCUUAUUCUGGCCGGCGAGGCAAGAUUUUGACGUCACCGCGUGCCGGUAGCGGCAAUUUUCGGCACUGCGGCACCCGGCAGCUGCCCGACCGUGCUCCUACAUGCUCCUACCUUGUUUCGCCUGGUGCGCGCGUUCGUUUCUAAAAUUCCCUGCCGCUGACAGUUUACUUAUUGCGUGUUGUGAAUGCGUGAAGGCUUAACGUGUGAUGCCGAACAGAUGUGCGCUAGCAUGUUCUACGAAAUGCCUAUAUUGAAGAAGGCACCGGCCCUUUUGUUUCCGAAGAAUCGCAGCCCUUGGAACAAGUGUGUACUUAAGUGUCAUUCCUCGAGGCGUGUGGUGCCAACGUUCUAGACGAAGGGUCGCCUUCGGGCAUCUGCCACAGCGCACGGCGAAAGAGACUCUUCGAACAGCAUGGAUUCCCGGAGGCACCGAGUUUGGCCCGCGUCGGUGGAGUGGGCACGCGAACAAUGCACAGAGAGGAGACGAGACAAUGUCUGCUCUGCUGCCGACGUUAGAGCAAAAAUGUGGAGGACUGCCGUUUCCUCGUCGUAUCCACCUUAGAGUGGGUUCGUCGUAUUUACAGGCAAUAUCCUUGACUGUGCCUGCGACGUCACGUCACGUCACGUCAUGACGUCAUGCCACGUCAUCAGGCCACGUCACGAGCGCGCCUCGACGGAGCAGAGCGGGCGAAAGGGAACACCUGCAGCCGCAGUAG